UCCCUGAUAGCUCAGUCUGUAGAGAAUCUGCCUGCAAUGCAGGGGACUCAGGUUCAAUUCCUGGGCAGGAAA
rnacentral:tRNA from 1 species